AUUGAACGCUGGCGGAAUGCUUUACACAUGCAAGUCGAACGGCAGCACGGACUUCGGUCUGGUGGCGAGUGGCGAACGGGUGAGUAAUGUAUCGGAACGUGCCCAGUCGUGGGGGAUAACGUUGUGAAAAUUACGCUAAUACCGCAUACGAUCUAUGGAUGAAAGCGGGGGAUCGCAAGACCUCGCGCGCUUGGAGCGGCCGAUAUCAGAUUAGGUAGUUGGUGGGGUAAAGGCACACCAAGCCAACGAUCUGUAGCUGGUCUGAGAGGACGACCAGCCACACUGGAACUGAGACACGGUCCAGACUCCUACGGGAGGCAGCAGUGGGGAAUUUUGGACAAUGGGCGAAAGCCUGAUCCAGCCAUUCCGCGUGCAGGAUGAAGGCCCUCGGGUUGUAAACUGCUUUUGUACAGAACGAAAAGGUUUCUACUAAUACUAGGAGCUCAUGACGGUACUGUAAGAAUAAGCACCGGCUAACUACGUGCCAGCCGCCGCCGUAA
rnacentral:rRNA from 1 species